GAUGAACGCUAGCGGCAGGCUUAACACAUGCAAGUCGAGGGGCAACGCGAUGUAGCAAUACAUUGGCGGCGACCGGCGCACGGGUGCGUAACACGUAUGGAACUUACCCUUUACUGGGAGAUAGCCCGGAGAAAUCCGGAUUAAUAUCCCAUAAUAAACGAAGUGGCAUCACUUUGUUUUGAAAGCUCCGGCGGUAAAGGAUGGCCAUGCGCACGAUUAGCUAGUAGGUGAGGUAACGGCUCACCUAGGCUACGAUCGUUAGGGGGCCUGAGAGGGUUAUCCCCCACACUGGUACUGAGACACGGACCAGACUCCUACGGGAGGCAGCAGUGAGGAAUAUUGCGCAAUGGAGGCAACUCUGACGCAGCCAUGCCGCGUGCAGGAAGAAGGCGCUACGCGUUGUAAACUGCUUUUAACCGGGAAGAAACCCUCCGACGUGUCGGAGGUUGACGGUACCGGAGGAAUAAGCACCGGCUAACUUCGUGCCAGCAGCCGCGGU
rnacentral:rRNA from 1 species